rnacentral:rRNA from 1 species
AGAGACGAGUCAGAGUUUGAUCCUGGCUCAGGACGAACGCUGGCGGCGUGCUUAACACAUGCAAGUCGAGCGGGGAUAUCAAACGGAAAGCUUCGGCCGGAAGUUUGGUAUUCUAGCGGCGGACGGGUGAGUAACGCGUGAACAAUCUGUCCCAGACAGGGGGAUAACACUUGGAAACAGGUGCUAAUACCGCAUAAGACCACGAGGUCGCAUGGCCAUGGGGUAAAAGGAGCAAUCCGGUUUGGGGUGAGUUCGCGUCCGAUUAGCUAGUUGGUGAGGUAACGGCCCACCAAGGCGACGAUCGGUAGCCGACCUGAGAGGGUGAUCGGCCACAUUGGAACUGAGACACGGUCCAA